ACCUGCGGAAGGAUCAUUAUUGAAUAAACUUGGUCAGGUUGUUGCUGGCUCCUUGGAGCAUGUGCACGCCUGCCACCAUUUUUUACCACCUGUGCACCCUUUGUAGAUCUGGAUACCUCUCGAGGAAACUCGGUUUGAGGACUGCUGUGCGCAAGCUAGCUUUCCUUGCAUUUCCGAUCUAUGUUUUUAAUAUAUACCCCACAUGAAUGUAACAGAAUGUCAUUAAUGGGCCUUAGUGCCUUUAAAUCAAAUACAACUUUCAACAACGGAUCUCUUGGCUCUCGCAUCGAUGAAGAACGCAGCGAAAUGCGAUAAGUAAUGUGAAUUGCAGAAUUCAGUGAAUCAUCGAAUCUUUGAACGCACCUUGCGCUCCUUGGUAUUCCGAGGAGCAUGCCUGUUUGAGUGUCAUUAAAUUCUCAACCUUUCUGGCUUUUAUUAGCUGGUCAGGCUUGGAUGUGGGGGUUGCGGGCUUCUCAGAAGUCAGCUCUCCUUAAAUGCAUUAGCAAAACCUUUGUUGACCAUCUCUGGUGUGAUAAUUAUCUAUGCCAUUGGGAAGCAGCUUUUAUAUGGGGUUUAGCUUCUAACUGUCUUAUCAUUGGACAACUCUUGACAUUUUGACCUCAAAUCAGGUAGGACUACCCGCUGAACUUAAGCAUAUCAAUAAG
rnacentral:rRNA from 1 species